CAGUUAACUAUAAUUUAUUGGGCUUAAAAUAAAGCAUUUAAUCAUACUAGAGGGACAUCAGUCUUAAAACAGAUUUUUUUAAAUUAUUGUAAAAAACAACCCACUUCUAAAUUUCUAAAUAUUUAGAGCAGUUGCAAAAAUGAAUUGAUUUUCGGAGACACACAAGGCAGACAUACAUUUAGCAGUAUUAUUUAUUUAUAUGGGUGUAUUUCCAUGGGUUAAUUAAUGCUUCAGUUGAUGAUGGUUGUGAUAAAAUAUUCUUUAUCAAAAGUAUCCAGUUUUAUAAUUUGAUAUUCUUUCUUUAUAGAAGCUGCAAUAAAAAGUGAAAAAUAUAGUGAUAAGAAGGUGGCGGAGCAAGAAAUUGGACGAUGGUUGAGGAGAGCCGGGGAUCGCUUAAAAACUUUCAAGGAAAAGGAAUCAGAAUAAAAAUUGAAUUUAUUUAUUUUUUAAAUAAUAAAGAUAUAUUCACCUA
rnacentral:lncRNA from 1 species